rnacentral:misc_RNA from 1 species
GGACUACAAGGGUUUCUAAUCCUGUUUGCUACCCACGCUUUCGAACCUCAGCGUCAGUUACAGACCAGAGAGCCGCUUUCGCCACUGGUGUUCUUCCACAUAUCUACGCAUUUCACCGCUACACAUGGAGUUCCACUCUCCUCUUCUGCACUCAAGUCUCCCAGUUUCCAAUGCACUACUCCGGUUAAGCCGAAGGCUUUCACAUCAGACUUAAAAGACCGCCUGCGUUCCCUUUACGCCCAAUAAAUCCGGAUAACGCUUGCCACCUACGUAUUACCGCGGCUGCUG